GUGCUUAUAUCACUUUACCAACACAUAUACUAACACUGAAAGGACAUAAGAUUAGCAUGGCACCUGUGUAAGAAUGAUGUGCAAAUUAAUGAAGUGUUCCAUAUUUUU
ensembl:snRNA U6 U6 spliceosomal RNA